rnacentral:rRNA from 1 species
GGCAGCAGUUAUUCUAUCUUGGAAUGUGAUCUCUCCAAAUCUCAUAUGCUAAGCAGGGGAAACUUGGUUGAUAAGUGGAUGGGAGACCUCCGAAAAUCACCUAGUUUUUGCAGGAA